UCGGUGCGGCUGGGCCCCAGGAGGGAGCCGCGCGCCGGAGCAUCUUCUGGCCUCGGUGGGAGGCAGCCCUUCCCCCGCGCCCUGCUCCGCGGGGCCCCCGUCUGCACCGCUGUGUGCCCUCACCUGUGUCCGCACCGACCGGAUUGCGCCGCUGCCCCUUUGCACAGGGUGUCUCCCCGCUCCGCCAGCGCCCCGCGAUCUCAGCUCGUGUCGCAGCCUGAGCCGCGGCCCCCCUCUCCUGGCCUCCACAAAUCAUUGUCCAGCCUGGAACCUCUCUCUCCGUAGGAUUUAUCUUCCAAAUUAUAUAAUUUAAUUUUUUUAAUCGUAUCCAUCGUGUGCCUCUCGUCCUACCUUAAGCUCCACUAGGGGAAGGAUCUCUUGUUUUGUUCGCCGCAACCCCGGAUGCCUGCAACAGGGACCGGCACACAGAAGGAGAGACUUGGUUAUAUUUUGAGAAUAAGCCAGAAGAGCUAGCAAGAUUCAAGAAAUAAGGGAGAGUGUGUGUGAGUUAGCAAAGCCCGGACCUAGAGGAAAAGGAAAAGUCUGUGGAACUUAAAUUGGAAGACCAGAGAGAGGGAAGAGGAUAUAUGGACAUAACAUUGAAUUCCGAGACAAAAUACCUGGUGUGGCAGCCAUGGGGACCGUGUGGCUCAGAUCUCCCUUGGCGAAAGAAUCUGCCAUUCAACUACUGGUGUGCAGGCAGCUGUCAGCCUCCAGCUACAUACAUCACCUUUGGGAUCCAUUACAGUGUCAGAGGUAAGGCCCCACUGUCCCCAGGCCUGGUAUGGGGGUUAGGGCUUGGCCAUUUCUGCUCACUAUGAAACUUCUCUACCAGACACUCUGUUCUGGAGCUUUCCAUUGGGUUGACUGGAGCUUGGAAGGAUCUGCAUCAUGAGGUUCUCCUUACCCAAUUUUGCUUCCUACGUCCUUUCCUUUCAGGGGUAUCAGAGCCUUCUGUAUCCUUUCCUGCUUCCUUCCCCUUUUUCAUUCAUAGACAUUAAUACCCAGUGAACCU